rnacentral:rRNA from 1 species
UACGUAGGGCGCGAGCGUUGUCCGGAAUUAUUGGGCGUAAAGAGCUCGUAGGCGGCCUGUUGCGUCCGCUGUGAAAUCCCAGGGCUCAACCCUGGGCGUGCAGUGGAUACGGGCAGGCUGGAGGCAGGCAGGGGAGAACGGAAUUCCCGGUGUAGCGGUGAAAUGCGCAGAUAUCGGGAGGAACACCAAUUGCGAAGGCAGCUCGCUGGGACGUUACUGACGCUGAGACGCGAAAGCGUGGGGAGCAAACAGG